AUGGCUUUUAAAAACAUUUUUAUUUCAGAUCUUUCAUGCUAUUUGUACAAACUAAAAAGACACUAAAAUAAUAAAUCACUGCAAUGGUUUAUACAAGUGUGCUUCUUGAUGAGAUAACUUGAUGAAUCGUGCACUUUUAAGUGAUUGAGACCAAUAUCACAUCCAAAUAGUGAGAUUUAUUUAGCAAAGGUUCACAAUGUCAUAUAAUGAUCAAACUUUUAUUCAGUAAACAUAGUCAAUAUCACUUUAAUUAUCAUGAAGGAGACUAG